rnacentral:rRNA from 1 species
UACGGGGGGGGGCAAGCGUUGUUCGGAAUUACUGGGCGUAAAGGGCUUGUAGGUGGCCAACUAAGUCAGACGUGAAAUCCCUCGGCUUAACCGGGGAACUGCGUCUGAUACUGGAUGGCUUGAGUGUGGGAGAGGGAUGCGGAAUUCCAGGUGUAGCGGUGAAAUGCGUAGAUAUCUGGAGGAAUACCGGUGGCGAAGGCGGCAUCCUGGACCGGCAUUGACGCUGAGGAGCGAAAAGCUAGGGGGAGCAAACGGG